GCCCAUCUUUGUCCGACACGGGCGGAUUCCGUCUUUUAAUCCGCAGGUCCUCGGUUCGAGCCCGAGAGGGGGCACCA
rnacentral:tRNA from 1 species